rnacentral:rRNA from 1 species
UACGUAGGGUGCAAGCGUUGCCCGGAUUUAUUGGGCGUAAAGGGCGCGUAGGCGGCUCUGCACGUCCGUUGUGAAAUCGCCCGGCUCAACUGGGCGGGGUCAGCGGAUACGGCAGAGCUUGAGCAAGCUAGGGGGCAAUGGAAUUCCCGGUGUAGUGGUGGAAUGCGUAGAUAUCGGGAGGAACACCAGUGGCGAAGGCGGGUCUCUGGGCCGAUACUGGACGCUGAGGAGCGAAAGCGUGGGGAGCAAACA